rnacentral:rRNA from 1 species
CAGUCGAGGGGUAUAGGUUUUCGGACCUAGAGACCGGCGCACGGGUGCGUAACGCGUAUGCAAUCUACCUUUUACAGAGGGAUAGCCCAGAGAAAUUUGGAUUAAUACCUCAUAGUAUUAUUGAAUGGCAUCAUUUAAUAAUUAAAGUCACAACGGUAAAAGAUGAGCAUGCGUCCCAUUAGCUUGUUGGUAAGGUAACGGCUUACCAAGGCAACGAUGGGUAGGGGUCCUGAGAGGGAGAUCCCCCACACUGGUACUGAGACACGGACCAGACUCCUACGGGAGGCAGCAGUGAGGAAUAUUGGUCAAUGGGCGCAAGCCUGAACCAGCCAUGCCGCGUGCAGGAUGAAGCAUCUAUGGUGUGUAAACUGCUUUUGUACGAGAAGAAACACUCCUUCGUGAAGGAGCUUGACGGUAUCGUAAGAAUAAGGACCGGCUAACUCCGUGCCAGCAGCCGCGGUAAUACGGAGGGUCCAAGCGUUAUCCGGAAUCAUUGGGUUUAAAGGGUCCGUAGGCGGUUUUGUAAGUCAGUGGUGAAAGCCCAUCGCUCAACGGUGGAACGGCCAUUGAUACUGCAAGACUUGAAUUAUUAGGAAGUAACUAGAAUAUGUAGUGUAGCGGUGAAAUGCUUAGAUAUUACAUGGAAUACCAAUUGCGAAGGCAGGUUACUACUAAUGGAUUGACGCUGAUGGACGAAAGCGUGGGGAGCGAACAGGAUUAGAUACCCUGGUAGUCCACGCCGUAAACGAUGGAUA